rnacentral:rRNA from 1 species
GGCCCUACAAUAAAUAAAAAGCUACUCAAAAGAAGGGGAGGCAAGUCGUAACAUGGUAAGUGUACCGGAAGGUGCACUUGGAAUAUAUCAGAGUAUAGCU